AACGAACGCUGGCGGCAUGCCUAACACAUGCAAGUCGAACGAGACCUUCGGGUCUAGUGGCGCACGGGUGCGUAACGCGUGGGAAUCUGCCCUUGGGUUCGGAAUAACAGCGAGAAAUUGCUGCUAAUACCGGAUGAUGACGUAAGUCCAAAGAUUUAUCGCCCAAGGAUGAGCCCGCGUAGGAUUAGCUAGUUGGUGAGGUAAAGGCUCACCAAGGCGACGAUCCUUAGCUGGUCUGAGAGGAUGAUCAGCCACACUGGGACUGAGACACGGCCCAGACUCCUACGGGAGGCAGCAGUGGGGAAUAUUGGACAAUGGGCGAAAGCCUGAUCCAGCAAUGCCGCGUGAGCGAUGAAGGCCUUAGGGUUGUAAAGCUACUUUCGUGGGGGGAAGAUAAUGACGGUACCCCAAGAAGAAGCCCCGGCUAACUCCGUGCCAGCAGCCGCGGUAAU
rnacentral:rRNA from 1 species